ACGCUCGACACCUACUGGAGGCAGCAGUGGGGAAUAUUGCACAAUGGGGGGAACCCUGAUGCAGCGACGCCGCGUGAGUGAAGAAGUACUUCGGUAUGUAAAGCUCUAUCAGCAGGGAAGAAAAUGACGGUACCUGACUAAGAAGCCCCGGCUAACUACGUGCCAGCAGCCGCGGUAAUCUGAGCGGGCUGGCAAGGC
rnacentral:rRNA from 1 species